GUGCUUGCUUUGGCAGCACAUAUGCUAAAACUGGAAUGACACAGAGAAGAUUGGCAUGGCCCUUGCACAAGGAUGACACGCAAAAUACCAGCAACAUGAGCAGAAAAC